rnacentral:lncRNA from 1 species
GCCCGCGCGGCCCCGCCGCGGCUCCGGAGGCGGGAGCGGCCUGCUGCCGGCACCGGGGCGAUGUGGAGGUUCGUGCCGUCAGGAGGCGAGUCGCGACUGGGCUUCUCCAUCGGAAAGAAGUGCGCUCGCACAGUUGUGCUGCAGGUCUAAACAACAACUGGCUCUAGCAGCUGAGCGAGAAUGGAUUCUGAAACAGAGUAAUAUGCAAACAGAACUUAACUGGCAGCAGCUUUGUAAGAAUGCUGAAUGUAAUUGGUAUCAGAAAUCAGAGGAUCCAACAUGCAGCCUAUGUUCAUCAAGAGAGGAGAUAUUUCAGCAUGAUGAUGAAAGUUCUUUGUGCAAAUAUAACCCUGCUUUGGAAAUAAAAAAGCUGCAGGAACAGAAUGCCAACCUUCGGGCUGCUAUUGCACAAAUGAGGGAAGAAAUGGAGAGUCUUAAUGAGCAGAUGUUGUCUUCUGUUCCUCAAACAGAAGACAGACAGCUUGCAGAGCAAGGUUCAUUGAGCACAAACAAAAUUUCAACUGGGACCACACUAAGCAACACCAAAAUCUGUUCAACUAUGCUGGAUUGUAUAAUAAACCCAGACACAGAAGAGUGGCCAGAACCCAAAGUUCUUGAAGAAAACAUGGUAAAUUUUGGACAACAGCUACCUGAUGUAGGUACUGGUAUUUGUUGUCAAUAUAAUGUCAAACACACUCUACAAGGAAUGCAAAAUAAACUCAAGGAAGCAGCAAGAAAAAUUUCAAUUCUGAGCCAAGAGAAGCGUCAGCUGAUUGAAAUGGGAAACAGACUCAGGGCAGAACUUGGAAUGGUGUUAAAGGAAGGAGUCUGGCAUCCUGUUAGCUCUAAACACUGCACAGUUUGUAUUGCCUCUGGUAGUCUUCUUCCAAGAGAACUUGUCAAAAGAACACAGUGUCAGCUAUCAGUUCUAAAGCAUCUACAGCACAGACUCACAACACAGGAGCUGCAGUGCACAAGGCAACAGCAUCCUUCAAGGCUGUCUUCUCUUACUGCCUGCCCUAGCUUGAAGGAAGAAGAAGCUCCAAGCAGCUGUGGAGAAGAAACAGAAUUACCAUCCAGUGAGGUUUGGAUAGAUUUCUCUAUUGAAAAUCAUGGGCCAGAUACAUCCACAAAGAUUGUUCAAACUCAGCUGCUCAGUCAGAGUCCUAAUCAUGUCCAGCAGGUUCAGCUUUCUUCAUCUAGAACGCAUAAUUUCUGUCAAAUUUUAGAUACGGCAUCAAGCCUUUUUCUACUCAGUCCUCAGAAGAACACCAGCCAGGGAAAAUACACCCAAUGAUCUUCAUGGGCUCAAGCAUCCUCUUCCAUACCUUCUACAUCUGUAGAAAGCCACUAGGUGGCAAGCUGGACAACAGGAUUUCGCAUCCACAGCUCAAGAGUCCACUGAGCUUUUGUCACCAAGCUGAUUCAGUGCAGAGAUCACACACACGAGUGAACAGCUGGUUCAAGCUAAGCCAUUGUAUAAAAAUUAUUUUGAAAAGUAUCAUGUUUUGACAUAAGCCACAGUGUCAUGCUUUGCAUCGAGCUAUAAACCUUCAAUCAAUCAAUUCAUUCUGUUUCAGGAACAUGUAGUAUUUCCUUUGAUGUAGAAUUUUGUUUAGGCUUUCAACCAUGUUAAAUUGACUUUGAAAAUUUACCUUCUCCUACUAGUAACUGAUCUUUGUCAAUUUGUGCGCCUUUAAUUCUUGCUGUGAUUGAGUAGUAUCUGGGACUGCAGACUAUGAUGCUUAUAAAAUUAAACUAGUACAGAAUACUGUAGUGUGUGUCAUUACAGGUUUAUUAUUACUACUUCUGCUGUCUGCUUUGUCUCUCCAUAGAAAAUCUGAUGUUACAGUCUCAAUGCCUUGAAAAAUAAGGGUUAAGUGGCUGGAGCCAAACACCUGUAAAUAUUACCUAUAGUUUACAGUGAAUAAUGUGAUUGAACAGUUCCAUGUCAAACCAUGCCAUUUACCUAAAGAAACCUGUGAUAAGACUGAAGUUCAGUUAGUUGGAGAUAAUGGUUUUUGAAGAAUUAUGUGAGAACUGCAAGAUGGACUCUGACUGGUAUUAGGACCAGACCCACUGCUUCCUAAACAAAGAUGUUUCUUUUUGAGUUAGUCCUUUCUGGAAAGAGAGGGAUUUUAGACAACAAAACCAAAUAUUUACAUACUAAAUGUUUUCCUAAGUGAAAGAAGAUUGAAAAAAGACCCAAAAGAUAAUGGCAGUAAUGCAGCUUUGUAAAGCGAACAGACUUACCUCUUGAGUCUUUUAUAUCAUGCAUAUCCAAACACAUUUUCUCAAAAUGGAGAGAAGGGUAAACUUGUAAAAUAUGAUGCUUUAAAACAGCUGAACAGAUAGGUAGUGCUUGACUUGAACUGUUAACACUGACCUUCCAGAUGUCUUCCUCUCUUAAGCAGUCUGAUGCUAAUGGAGAAUGAACAUGUACAGAUGAAGUGAGGAUUGAGCAGAAUCCUCAAAAAUCCUGUGUUAUACCAUCAGCAUGGCAAGCCUUAAUGAACUGUUCUGGGCUUCUAUGUACAGAAAUGGUCCUGAUAAUAUAAGAUUUUGACAAUGUGGCAUUAUGGCAGCAGUAUAUUUAGAAGAAAAGAGUAAACCAGCUCUCUUCAACUAUCCAAUCUCAUAACUGAAUACAAACAUAACCAAAGUAUUUUUCUGUCUGUUUUUUUGAGCAGGGGAGUUUGAAGUUGUACAUUCGAUCAAGCAAUCUGAAGAACCUCAGCAAAAUGUCAAAGCCAAGGAUAAAUGUGAAGCAUCAGCUGAAGAUUUGACAGUCAGAGGAGCAAGGCUGGAAGUUCAGCAGAAAUUAAAAUCCAGGAGUUUAUCUUGUGCUCAUCUAUUAAAACCAAAAAUCUCUUAUAGCAUGGCAAAAAUACGCAAUUAUAAUAUUAAAGACUAAUUUCUAUGUUGUCACAUAGGUUCUUUACACAUUUGCUGUUAACUUACUUGGACAUCUCUGUAUCGGGUCUAAUUGUCAGACUCAGUUUUGUAUGUCAGGUUGAGAUAUUUGCAGCCAGAAGAGAGAACAGAUAGCCUGUUUCAUACAGUGAGGCCUAAAAUAAAGGGUUAAUCU